rnacentral:rRNA from 1 species
GGAGUUUGGGCCGUGUCUCAGUCCCAAUGUGGCCGUUCACCCUCUCAGGCCGGCUACUGAUCGUUGCCUUGGUGGGCCGUUACCCCGCCAACAAGCUAAUCAGACGCGGAUCCAUCUCGCACCGAUAAAUCUUUUACCCCUGUCCCAUGCGGGACCGUGGUCUUAUGCGGUAUUACCAGCCGUUUCCAGCUGCUAUCCCCCUGUGCGAGGCAGGUUAUCCACGCGUUACUCACCCGUCCGCCACUAAACUGAUAAAAAGCAAGCUUCUCAUCAGCUCCGUUCGACUUGCAUGUAUUAAGCACGCCGCCAGCGUUCAUC